GCCGGUGUGGUGGAAUUGGUAGACACGCCUGAUUCAAAAUCAGGUGCCUAACAGCGUGGCGGUUCGAGUCCGCCCAUCGGUACCA
rnacentral:tRNA from 1 species